CCUACGGGAGGCUGCAGUCGGGAAUAUUGCUCAAUGGAGGAAACUCUGACGCAGUGACGCCGCGUGCAGGAAGAAGGUCUUCGGAUUGUAAACUUCUUUAUACAGGGAAGAAAAAAGACAGUACUGUUAGAAUAAGCUUCGGCUAACUACGUGCCAGCAGCCGCGGUAAUACGUCGGGAGCAAGCGUUAUCCGGAUUUAUUGGGGGGAAAGGGAUCGUAGACGGAGAAUCAAGUUCGGUGUGAAAUCCCUCGGAUAAACAGGAGAACUGCAACUAAAACUAGCACCCUUGAGUACUGGUGAGGGAGGUGGAAUGCCUGGGGGAGCGGUGAAAUGCGGAGAUAUAAGGAGGAA
rnacentral:rRNA from 1 species